rnacentral:tRNA from 1 species
GCUCGCGUUCACGUCCGGCAACGCGGUGCGGCUUUGCGACGGCGGCGCCGCGUUCUUCCCGGCGCUGAUCGAGCGGAUCGACGCCGCCCGCGAGCGC